rnacentral:rRNA from 1 species
UACGGAGGGUGCAAGCGUUAUCCGGAUUCACUGGGUUUAAAGGGCGCGUAGGAGGGCAGGCAAGUCAGUGGUGAAAUCUCCAAGCUUAACUUGGAAACUGCCGUUGAUACUAUCUGUCUUGAAUAUUGUGGAGGUGAGCGGAAUAUGUCAUGUAGCGGUGAAAUGCUUAGAUAUGACAUAGAACACCAAUUGCGAAGGCAGCUCACUGCGCAAUCAUUGACUCUGAGGCACGAAAGCGUGGGGAGCAAACAGG